rnacentral:rRNA from 1 species
GAACGCUGGCGGCAGGCUUAACACAUGCAAGUCGAGCGGUAGCAGAUCUAGCUUGCUAGAUGCUGACGAGCGGCGGACGGGUGAGUAACGCGUAGGAACCUGCCCAGUAGUGGGGGAUAGCCCGGGGAAACUCGGAUUAAUACCGCAUACGCUCUACGGAGGAAAGAGGGCUUCGGCUCUCGCUAUUGGAUGGGCCUGCGUGAGAUUAGCUAGUUGGUGAGGUAAUGGCUCACCAAGGCGACGAUCUCUAGCUGGUCUGAGAGGAUGAUCAGCCACACUGGGACUGAGACACGGCCCAGACUCCUACGGGAGGCAGCAGUGGGGAAUAUUGCACAAUGGGCGCAAGCCUGAUGCAGCCAUGCCGCGUGUGUAAAGAAGGCUUUCGGGUUGUAAAGCACUUUCAGUGGGGAGGAAGGCCUCGUAGUUAAUAGCUGCGGGGAUUGACGUUACCCACAGAAGAAGCACCGGCUAACUCCGUG